CAGGACUUUCCCUUUUGAAGACUACGUGUUACAAGAUGGGCUUAAGGCAGUUGGAAAUCCAUCAUAGUGGCUAUUUUUGAUGGGAAGAGUUUUACACCUUCUGCAGAGAUGUGAUGGCUAAGAAAGUCAAUGGUUGACACCCCACGCUGGCAUUUAACAGGGUUAGUAAUCAACCCACGUUAGAUUAGGUGCUCAAAAAGUGUGCGGAGUUGAGAUAUGUGUUCAAAUUUGGAUGCACUGGUAACAAGUAUGUCUUCCAGGUGAAGUAACGAACUGGGAAGAUGAUUGAUGAAAGAGAUACAGGGCUGAAGAAGGACGAGUCUGAUAGGAGAGGACAGAAGGCCAUGGAAGAAUGAAAACAGGGAGGAGCACCAGAGGGAGACUAUGUGGCAAUUGAUGAAUAAAAGGCCAAGGUGGCGUGGAGUAGACUGAGUGAGCUGUGAGACUGGAGCCUUGAUCCGGAGUCAACAACAAACCAGCUUCCAUUUAAAUGUCUGCUACUAAAUCAAAUGGAUUAAAAUUGAUCCAUGUCCUGGAGAUCAUUUGGAGUGGUUAAGUAUUUUCAUUAAAGGGGUUCUUUGUGAAGAUGGAUCCAUGUCAGACUCCAUUGCUGAGAUCUAAUGGUAAAGCACCGUUCUCAGUUUUUAGUGCAAUUGCCUCAAAGAUGCAGCAGCCUGGGUUUGAUGCUAAGCUCCAAUAUCAUCUGUGUAGAGUGAGCAUAUUCCCAAUAUGAUAGUGUGGGGUUUCCUCACACAUCCCAAAGCCAUCCAAGUUGGUAGGUUAACUGGCCACUGUAAACUGUCCUGCAUGUAGAGGUGAGCGGUAGAAUCUGAAGAAAGUUGAUGGGAAUGUUUGGAGGAUGGGGUUAGAUUUGUUAGAGAUAAUACAAAAUUAUGAGUGGUAUAGAUAAGGUAAAGGCAAGUAGGCCUUUUCCACUGAGAUUGGCUGAGACUAGAACAGGAGGUCAUUGGGUAGGAUGAAGAGUGAAAUGAUUAAGGGAAUGUCAGGGGGAUCUUUAUUCAGAAGGUGGCCAGAGUGUGGAAGGAGCUGUCAGCUGAAGUGGUAGAUGUGGGUUAGAUUUCAACAUUUAAGUGCAAUUUGGAUAGUUCCAUGAAUGGGAGGGAUGUGGAGGACUAAGUUCCAUGUUCAAGUUA